rnacentral:rRNA from 1 species
AAGCUGGAUUCGCUAGUAAUCGCGCAUCAGCCACGGCGCGGUGAAUACGUUCCCGGGCCUUGUACACACCGCCCGUCAAGCCAUGAAAGCCGGGGGUACCUGAAGUGCGUAACCGCAAGGAGCGCCCUAGGGUAAAACUGGUGAUUGGGGCUAAGUCGUAACAAGGUAAC